ncrna:unclassified sequences RT-5 RNA
UUGCGCCUGCGGCGGACCCGGCACGAGCCAAGCACGGCUUCGCAGGCAGCCGGUUCGUGUACGGUCUGGUACUUCCCGGAAUUUUCCGGGCUUUAACGCCUUCU